rnacentral:rRNA from 1 species
CAGCAGCCGCGGGAAUACAGAGGGUGCGAGCGUUAAUCGGAUUUACUGGGCGUAAAGCGUGCGUAGGCGGCUUCUUAAGUCGGAUGUGAAAUCCCUGAGCUUAACUUAGGAAUUGCAUUCGAUACUGGGAAGCUAGAGUAUGGGAGAGGAUGGUAGAAUUCCAGGUGUAGCGGUGAAAUGCGUAGAGAUCUGGAGGAAUGCCGAUGGCGAAGGCAGCCAUCUGGCCUAAUACUGACGCUGAGGUACGAAAGCAUGGGGAGCAAACAGGAUUAGAUACCCCCGUAGUCCCUGUCUCUUAUAC